AGUCGAACGAAUCCCGGUAGCAAUACCGGGGGAAGUGGCGAAAGGGGCAGUAAGGCAUGGCUAACCUACCCCGGGGACGGGGAUAGCCUUCCUAACGGAAGGGUAAUACCCGGCGAUGUGGCGAGAGGACAUCCUCUUGCCAUGAAACGAAUUUCGCCUCGGGAGGGGGUCAUGUGCUAUUAGCUUGUUGGUAGGGUAACGGCCUACCAAGGCAAAGAUGGCUAGCGGGUGUGAGAGCACGACCCGCGCCACUGGCACUGCGACACUGGCCAGACUCCUACGGGAGGCUGCAGUCGAGGAUCUUCGGCAAUGGGCGCAAGCCUGACCGAGCGACGCCGCGUGUGCGAUGAAGGCCUUCGGGUUGUAAAGCACUGUCGAGGGGGAGGAAGACCCGCAAGGGUUUGACCUAUCCCUGGAGGAAGCACGGGCUAAGUUCGUGCCAGCAGCCGCGGUAAGACGAACCGUGCGAACGUUGUUCGGAUUCACUGGGCUUAAAGGGCGCGUAGGCGGCUUGCCAAGUCAGGGGUGAAAUCUUUCGGCUUAACCGGAAAAGUGCUUCUGAUACUGGCAGGCUGGAGGGAGGUAGGGGCAGAUGGAACUUCCGGUGGAGCGGUGAAAUGCGUAGAUAUCGGAAGGAACGCCGGUGGCGAAAGCGAUCUGCUGGACCUCUUCUGACGCUGAGGCGCGAAAGCCAGGGGAGCAAACGGGAUUAGAUACCCCGGUAGUCCUGGCCCUAAACGAUGGGUACUAGGUUGUGGACUUGACAUGGGUUCACAGCCGAAGCAAAAUGAUAAGUACCCCGCCUGGGGAGUAUGGUC
rnacentral:rRNA from 1 species